UACAAUCAGUUUACAUUUAGGGGAAACACAAUAAGAAUUGUAGCUGAUUUCUCACUAGAAACAAAGGCAGCUAGAAGACAAUUGAAGAACCACUUUAAAGGGUCUCAAGGAAAAAUUCUGUGAGCUUAGAAGUCUAUAUCCAAUAAAAAUGUCAUUCAAAAAUAAAGGGAUUUGUGUACUUCACUAUAUGUUAAUUAGCCUGCCCUUUAGUAAAGUACUGUUACCAAAGAAAGAGAAUGGACACGACAG
rnacentral:lncRNA from 1 species